rnacentral:rRNA from 1 species
UACGGGGGGUGCAAGCGUUAUUCGGAAUCAUUGGGCGUAAAGAGCACGUAGGCGGCCUGAUAAGUCAGAUGUGAAAGCCCGGGGCUUAACCCCGGAAGUGCAUUUGAUACUGUCAGGCUUGAGUAUGGGAGAGGGAAGUGGAAUUCCUGGUGUAGAGGUGAAAUUCGUAGAUAUCAGGAGGAACACCGGUGGCGAAGGCGACUUCCUGGACCAAUACUGACGCUGAGGUGCGAAGGCGUGGGUAGCAAACAGG